CAGCAGUGGGGAAUAUUGCACAAUGGGGGAAACCCUGAUGCAGCCAUGCCGCGUGUGUGAAGAAGGCCUUCGGGUUGUAAAGCACUUUCAGUAGGGAGGAAGGUAGUGUAGUUAACACCUGCAUUAUUUGACGUUACCUACAGAAGAAGCACCGGCUAACUCCGUGCCAGCAGCCGCGGUAAUACGGAGGGUGCGAGCGUUAAUCGGAAUUACUGGGCGUAAAGCGCAUGCAGGCGGCCUGUUAAGUCAGAUGUGAAAGCCCGGGGCUUAACCUCGGAAUUGCAUUUGAAACUGGCAGGCUAGAGUCUUGUAGAGGGGGGUAGGAAUUUCAGGUGUAGCGGUGAAAUGCGUAGAGAUCUGAAGGAAUACCAGUGGCGAAGGCGGCCCCCUGGACAAAGACUGACGCUCAGAUGCGAAAGCGUGGGGAGCAAACAGGAUUAGAUACCCUGGUGG
rnacentral:rRNA from 1 species